UGUGUGACGUAUGACAAGGGACUGACUGAACACUACUGAGCCUGGGUUCCCUCCCAGGAGCUGAGAACCUGCCUGACAGCUUCCUGGGAGGCUGAGGACGGUCCUUAGGUGUGGUCAUGUUUGUAAACAGAAGAGUACUAGGUAGGGUCUAGAUUUAAAGGGAUUACAACGGAUUGGAAUAUUGAACCAUGAUGUAAGUACAUGAUACAAUAUGGCCAAUUAAAAUAAACUACAAACCAUCAAUUAAAAGGCUACUAGAUGUCAGCAGUUGGCUGGCGGAACACAAACACAGAUUAAGCCCCUCUGCUCAGCAAGUCUUUGGUCAUUCACUCGUCCCCCGUCCAUCCACCAGUUGUCAAUCUGGUCAUCCCACCAGCACCCAUCCAACACUUGCAGGGUGCGGGGCACUCACAAAGCCUCAGAUGGCUGCAGACAGUCAUGCAUCGCUGCCAUGCACCGUGAAGAUCAAUGCCAGCGACAGCCUAUGGAGGCCAGCUAUGCCAGGCCUGGCCCAAGCCCUGUCAUCCUCACAACCGUCUCUGUGCCCACUUCAAGGCUCCUAAUGGACCUCAGGCACAGCACCUUGUUUGUUCAGAACCAACUUGAGUGGACCGGGCUUUCAGGGCUCACAUCUGGUACAGCACAGAUCUUGAACAGGACACUACUCAGCAUGUGGCAGGGCUUUCCAUACAAUUAGUCUUCUCUCUGCCUGGUACAGAGCAGGCACACAGUGCACACCGGAUCUUCUCUUAUUAUUGGCUCAGCCUAACACUGUGUCCCAUAAACUCCAAGAC
rnacentral:lncRNA from 1 species